rnacentral:misc_RNA from 1 species
UCCGGCUUGACGCCGGCAGUCCCCCGAGAGUCCUCAGCUUUACCUGCUAGUAACACGGGGCAAGGGUUGCGCUCGUUGCGGGACUUAACCCAACACCUCACGGCACGAGCUGACGACAGCCAUGCAGCACCUGAACCGGCGGUCCCCGAAGGGAAGGUCCUAUUUCUAGGAUGGUCCGCCGUUGUCUAGCCCAGGUAAGGUUCUUCGCGUUGCGUCGAAUUAAACCACAUGCUCCACCGCUUGUGCGGGCCCCCGUCAAUUCCUUUGAGUUUCAGUCUUGCGACCGUACUCCCCAGGCGGAAUGCUUAAUGUGUUAACUUCGGCACCAAGGGUAUCGAAACCCCUAACACCUAGCAUUCAUCGUUUACGGCGUGGACUAC